AUACAAUGCAAUAUUUGAAUAUUUUUUCAUCUCCUUUACAUUAAAUGAAGAACUGUAAGUCAGUGGUCACUCCAGACCUGAAGCUGGAUGAGUUGGUGGAGCCCUCUGCAUGAUGCCUUGAGCAGCUGCUUUGAAGAACCACAGGGCACUGAGAAGCUGAGCGCUAGAUCCCAGUGGCCCUUUGUCAGUUCUCUGGCCAUGAGCUCCAUGAGUCACAGAGAAGCCAACAGUAACUCCAGUGGUGUUUCUGGGCAGUCCUGUCCCUGUGUAUUUCAUAGACUGUAUGCUUGCUGUAUGUAUCUACUGCAAUACCACGUGGCCCUCUUUACAUUGUAA
rnacentral:lncRNA from 1 species